UGGCUCAGCGGUAGAGCACUUGCCUUGCAUGCAUGAGACCCUGGGUUCGAUUCCUCAG
rnacentral:tRNA from 1 species